UCUUGCUCCAAUGUCUGGAUCACCUCCAAAGCCCCCAGGCUCCAAUACGACGGGCAGCAGCCAUCUUUAUCGGUUGCACUGUUCAAAGCUCAGAGCCCGCCAUGGUCAGGCAAGAGAAGGAGCUGAUACUUCAGUCUCUCAGUGGCCUGCAGCAAGAUCCGGAUUCCUCUGUCCGUGUCAGUGUCUCACGGGCCAUUCAGCAAGUUCGGGAUGGUGGCAGAAACCAGUCACGUCAGACCCUAGG